UACGUAGGGUGCGAGCGUUAAUCGGAAUUACUGGGCGUAAAGCGUGCGCAGGCGGUUUUGUAAGCCAGAUGUGAAAUCCCCGGGCUUAACCUGGGAAUGGCAUUUGGGACUGCAAGGCUCGAGUGCGGCAGAGGAGACUGGAAUUCCUGGUGUAGCAGUGAAAUGCGCAGAUAUCAGGAGGAACACCGAUGGCGAAGGCAGGUCUCUGGGCAUUAACUGACGCUGAGGAGCGAAAGCAUGGGGAGCGAACAGG
rnacentral:rRNA from 1 species